CAGUCUAUCUAAGAAGGUGGAUGAACUCUCAUUAAAUCGCAUCACAACAGGUAUCUUAAAAAUAUCUCAUGCUCUUCAUAAUCUGUUGAUGAAUGUACGCUCAUGUGUAGACUAAUAAAAAGAAAUAAUUAGGCUGUAAAUUUAGAUAUAAUGUAAAACAAUGUCAUGAUGUUGAUCUGGAGAGUAAAUAAUAUCCUCUUUCUAUUGAUUUAAUUCUACUUUUGUUGUUUCACAAUGUAACUCAAGAAUAGGGGCCUGGCUAAGUGUUGUAAAGAAAAUAGCACCAACAUUAUUAAGGUGAUCCAUGUGCAGCUCCUCAUAUAAAAUAGCAAAUACUACAAUUUAUGUUACAUUUUAAAUUUAAAAAUGUUUAAAUUACUUUAAGGCCCUACACUUUUAGAUCUCAGCUAGCUUAUGAUUAAUGGGACAAAGGGGUCAUGGUAGCUGCUAGAUGGCAAAAACAUUCCAUUUGAAAUAAAGGAGAACUGAAAUAAUAACAUAAUGUAUUACUUUACCUCUUACAUGUCAAUGUUUCAGUGGUAAAGAAAUAUGAUAUAAUAACUGUAAUAUUUUUCUGCUUGAUUUCAAAAUGCACAAAACAUGCAGCAUUGUAGUACAAGGCUCCACACAUGGGCCUAUUCUGAGGCAAUGCCCAAAGGUAGUGCUUUUGGACUAUUUGCACCACAAAAAAGCCCACAUUAUACAACCCAGUGCUUGGGAGUAAUGUAUUCAUGUGUUUCUUUAUAUUUUAUUCAGAGAGCAGCGAUGGUUGGAGUGUGAGCGCGUUCUCACAGGCUCCCUCUGCAUAACCCCUGGAUUCUCCGGGAGAUGUAAGGAGCAGCGGGCGAAGAACAUCUGUUGGUAACAUUUCACCCCCCUAAGCCAGUAGCAGUAUCAGCCCUGGCUAAAACUGGAACAUCUGGAGAGCCACACCCAGUGAAGGCCAACGCCACGAGCGCUUCAGGAGGAGGACAUCACUUCCCUCUCAGGGCCAAAUGGCAUGGUGGCUGUGUGUUGACAAGCAGCAGGACUGAAUGAGAAAUGAAGGUCAACCUCAAAGUGCACAAACAUGUUCGAAGCCUCUGCAAGCAUGUGGACAUUUAACCACAAGGGUGACAGUGAAAAAUCCCGCGCACGAAAUGCGAACAGCAUGGACGCUGGGAGGACGCUAGAGCUGCAGCUGGAGCUUGCUAGCACACAUGACACUGAGCAUUGGUCUCCCCGUCCUCAUGGGGGCCAGUUUGAAGCAUGUGGAAGCGAAGGAGCAAAAAACAGCCCGUGGUGAGCGCAGACCAAUCGUUUCAGACAGGUGGCUGGUGUGAGCGGCGAUGCCAGGAGAGAGGAGCCCGAGUCUCCAGGGAGCGCGCCCAGAGAGGGGCCCUGCGCUGAUGAGAGGCUGCCUGGCAGGAUGUGACAGACAGGGACGCCGCGCGCCGACUGCAGGGAGACGGGCUCAUACUCGGCAUGGCAGGCCAGGACGAGAUCAGAGGGAAUC